rnacentral:rRNA from 1 species
UACAGAGGGUGCGAGCGUUAAUCGGAAUUACUGGGCGUAAAGCGUGCGUAGACGGUUGCAUAAGUCGGAUGUGAAAUCCCCGGGCUCAACCUGGGAAUGGCAUUUGGGACUGCAAGGCUGGAGUGCGGCAGAGGAGACUGGAAUUCCUGGUGUAGCAGUGAAAUGCGUAGAUAUCAGGAGGAACACCGAUGGCGAAGGCAGGUCUCUGGGCUGACACUGACGCUCAUGCACGAAAGCGUGGGGAGCAAACAGG